UUAUCUGCACAUCAAGUAUAUCUGCACAACAUUUAUAAACUCGCCGGUCGCCACCACUGGCAUGCUAUCUUCUCACGAUUAGCAUAUGGCCAACUAAACCUGCCUUGGCCUUCAACCCCACUCUUCAUCUUCAUCAUUUGUUUCCAAAACUCCGAGCUUCACCUCCAAAAACAAUGGAUGGUGGGCUAAGGCCAAUGGAUGCUGAUCAACUCAGAGAGCAUGCACAUAAGAUGGUGGAUUUCAUUGCUGAUUACUACAAAAGCAUUGAGAAUUUCCCAGUUCUCAGCCAAGUUGAGCCUGGUUAUCUUAGUAGAAUGUUACCAGAUUCUGCGCCUAAUCACCCAGAGUCAUUGGAAGAUAUAUUUAAUGACAUUUCAGCAAAGAUACUACCCGGAGUAACCCAUUGGCAAAGCCCAAACUAUUUUGCAUAUUUUCCAUCUAACAGCAGCAUUGCCGGAUUCUUAGGAGAAAUGCUCAGUGCUGGCCUUAACAUUGUGGGCUUCAGUUGGAUAACUUCCCCUGCAGCAACAGAGCUUGAAAUGAUAGUUUUGGAUUGGCUUGCUAAAUUGCUUAAACUGCCUGAUGAUUUCCUUUCAGGAGGAAAAGGUGGUGGGGUGAUACAGGGCACGGCAAGUGAAGCUGUUUUAGUUGUGCUAUUGGCUGCUCGAGACAAGAUGUUAAGGACUGUUGGCAAAAAUGCUCUUGAAAAGCUUGUGGUAUACGCAUCUAAUCAAACACAUUCUGCACUACAAAAAGCUUGCCAGAUAGGAGGAAUCCAGCCAGAAAAUUGCAGGUUGCUAGAAACGGAUUCUACUUCCAACUAUGCCCUGUCACCUGAUGUACUUUGUGAAGCAAUUGCACAUGACAUUGCCAUUGGUUUAAUCCCCUUUUUCUUGUGUGCUACAGUUGGUACUACUUCAUCAACAGCUGUUGAUCCUUUGCUUCCACUUGGAAAGAUUGCUAAGAGCAAAGGAAUGUGGUUUCACGUGGAUGCUGCAUAUGCUGGAAGUGCCUGUAUAUGUCCAGAGUACCGCCACUACAUUGAUGGUGUUGAAGAAGCUGACUCAUUUAACAUGAAUGCUCAUAAAUGGUUUCUAACAAAUUUUGAUUGUUCUGCACUUUGGAUUAAGGACAGAAAUGCCUUGGCUCAGUCACUGUCUACAAAUCCAGAGUUUCUGAAGAACAAAGCCUCUCAGGCGAACAUGGUUGUGGAUUACAAAGAUUGGCAAAUUCCUCUCGGACGUCGGUUUAGGUUGAGAAAGGGAGAAAUGAAAAUGUUGUGUCGUCUACUCUGGACUCUUUUAAGAGGCAGCAUAUGAAACUCUGACCCUUUCGUUUUCAAUGUGGCACUAUUUAUAGGUUCUAUUUAUCUAAGCUUAACAUAAUGGAAUUAGUGGACUAUUAACUAUUUAGUUCUUUGUUUAACUGCUCUUAAAUGAUUUAAACAUUUGUGAGUUACAGGGAAAGAAGAUAUAAAAUAUUUAAACCUGACCUUUUAUCUAUUUUCCUCUUUAAUGCAUUUUCCUGUUUUCAUUUCUAAUAUACUUAACUAUAUUUUUUUAAAAUAAAAUUGGAAAAGAAUCUCAUGUUUGAUAGCUGAUGAUUUUUUUCAUGCAACUCUUGGUACUGCUAUUUUAAUUGCCCUCUUACCUAUUACUUAAUAUUACAACUGUCAAGAAAUUAUCCUCAUUUGGCUUAUAAUUUUUAGCCCAAACUCUUUCAAGCAAUUCAUACAUUUAACAAAAGCGUGUGCAUGCGCGAACACAAAACCUUUGUGGUUUCAAUCAUUUUUAUGAUGCCAACUUAGCAAUCUAUAUACCGGCUCCCAGAUCAUUGAAACUGUGGAUGGUGUUGCGACUAUACGGUAUAGAAAACCUGCAAUGCUACAUAAGAAACCACAUCAAGUUGGCUCAGCAAUUUGAAGUGCUUGUUGCUCAAGACCCAAGAUUUGAGGUUGUUAACCCUCGGAUAUUUUCGUUAGUUUGUUUCCGCCUUCUACCUUCU